UCCGCUUAACUCCUUCGCGCCGCGUCUCCAGAAAGGCGUUCGGAGGCCUGUUCGACCCUCCCUCCCCCUCCCCAUCCACCAUGGCCCUCUACCCACAUUCAUGGCGGAACUAGAAAAGGAACAAACGCCUUCAAUAUGCUCCCCCUCCCUUUAACGUGUAUUUUCUUAUAACGAACUUUUGCAACGACCGCCCAAAUCUGUUCUUAAGGUUAAAUUCACGAUAACUAAGGUGUCUGGGUGGCACCUAAGGAGACAGGCAUUCCUUUACUUCGAAACUGGCUUUGUCUGCAGCCAACGUCCCCCAAGAUAGGGUGCGGUGUCCCUCACACAAGGGCUGCUGGGGUCUGAUUGCCGUGACUCAGCUUUCAGACCAGUGGACCGCACUCACCCCACCCAGCCCUCUUUGUCUUCCUCGGCUGUCUUCCCCCUUGAUUUGAGAGGGCGAUAAAGGAUUCUUGAGUGAUUUUUUUUUAAAGAAAAGUUUCAGCAUUGAAGCAUCUGUAUCGAAUGCUAUAAUUUUUGUGAGAACUCAAGUCAGAUAACUAAUAUUUGCUCAUGGAAAGUGAAUGCUAAUGAGAGCCAAGGAUUUCCGAAGACGACAGUUCCACUAGCUCCUGCCAUCUGAAGACUGAAAGAGAAGCGCGAACUCGGUUUUGAGGGGGAAGGUUUCGGCAAUUCAUGUGGAUGAGACAGGUAGAGAGGUGUGGGUUUCAAAAUGGCACCGGAGUCGGUGAGUACCAGGGACCCGCUUGUUACUAAAAUGUAAUUACAGGUACCAAGCUUGGGUCUCCAGGAGGUGGGUGACAGGAGGAAGCUACACAGGUUAUAAAAAGGCAUUGUUGGGAUUUUUUUCUGAGACACAGAUGACUACAAAAUAUUCCUUCUCCUUUUCCGUGCCCUGGGGUGGGGGUAUUUCCAGAAGCCCUUUGCUAAGCACUUUUAUGAUAGGGGUUUUGCCUCUCUGGGAAUGAGUCAAGGGUUAUAAGGGAGCCUAAACUGCCUCUGCUCCAGCAGCUUGGACUUCUCCAUUUCUUCAUCCACUUCCCUUUUACUGGGGAGGAAGGAGAUGGGGGUAGGCAGGGGAAGGUGACCCCUCUGGUUUCCCAGUUAAUAAUGCUUUGCUUGGGCGGCUGCCUUCCUGUCCUUCGAAUGGGGGCCCUGGACGUGUUGGAGCACGCAUCAGAUGUCUCCUCUCUGGUAACGCAGCCCCUCCUGCCCCAUGUUCACUUGCAGGGAGUCCGCUGCAUUGUUGAAACCCAGAAAAGAUCUUGCAGGGUGCAUUCCUGGCCUCUUCUGCUAGCAGCUGCAGUUACGCCAGACGCCAGUUCUGUGGGUUGUUUGAUUUCAUUUCCCCUCCCUCAGCUGUUGUCAGAAUUUCUCCUCUCUUUCCUCUCCCGGUCAACAAAGGAAUGGCACAGCCCGGCUCUUGCUGCCUCCUUUGCCUUAGGAAAGGUUACAAAAGUCAACUUGCCCAAGGAGGUGGGAGUGUGGAGUCUGUAAACAUCUGGAGUUUCCUACUUUGGUAGCAGGCUAGCAGGCAGCUGUUGUUUGCGGCUGCUGCUGGAAAAAGAGCAGGUGGGUGGUUAGAGAGGGAAGCAACGCGCUGUGGGAACAGAGUUCACCGGAAUGGGCUUGGCUGGCCCACCGGACAGAAACAUCGAAAGGGAAGGGCGCUACGGAGAAAAUGAAAGGCAAACGAAAGGAAUGGUCUUAAAGGUGGUGGACUCCUCGGUAAAGGGAACAAAUGACAAUAACUAGAGUUGUGAGAAGACCAAGAUCUUGGGACCAGGCUUUAAAAUGUCAAUCACUUUGUCCCGUUCUUAUUUAAAAUGGAAAGUUGAGAAGAAAAGAAAACAUUCAACGUUUUAGCGUUUGCCAUUAAUAAAAACCUCAGGUGAUUUGUAUAUUUCUACAUAGUUAAUACAUGACUAUAUUACUUCUCUAACAAAUUACCAAUAAAAAGGAGAUAUGUUGUUGUUUUAUAGCAAAUAAAAAUAACUCCAAUUCUGAAGACAUAACUCAGUUGGCAGAGCACCUGCCUAGCAUGCGCCAAGCUGUAGGUUCAGUCUCCAGCGUGACAUAAACCAGGCAUGGAAUGACAUGCCUGAAUUUUCAGCAUUUGGGAGAUAGAGGAAAGAAGACCAGGGAUUGCAGGUCAUCCACAGUGAGUCUGAGGCCAGCCUGGGUUAUAAAGCAGAGUGGUCCUUGAGUCCUAGAAGAUAGUAUUUGCUCAAUAAACCAGGCUCGCGCUGCUUUGGUUGUGUCCUUGAUACCUGAAUUCUGUUCCCGAACCGAAAACUCCAAUAACCAUGUUUACAUUUCAGACAGUUGAAUCUACUUAGUAUUAACUUCCAGAUGUCAGGGAUAAUUGCUGCUUCAGUGAAGGAAACAUUUAUAAGUAGAUUAGCAUAUGCUGAACCCAAUAACCACUGAGGUGGGAGUUUUCAAUUCCAAUUAAAGUGACGAAAACAUGGUGAGGCCAAAAGGAUUGCAUUCAAAGGCACUGGUUACUUCAGCUGCAGGGUGCAUCCUGACCUCGGGGCCCUCCAGGGAAAGGCAAGCAAAGAGCCCACCUGGCAAUUGCCUUGCCUCUCCCAUCUACCAGGCCAUGGCACCCUGUGAGACAUGUACCAACAAGGUGGCCCCUGUCCAAGGCCAUGCCCCCACAGAACCAGGAAGCAGCGUGAGCGGACGCUUUGUUUUCUUUUGCUUUCCAGUGUGGGCCUGGGCCAAAACUGUGUGUAUUUCCAGUGAUGGAGAAACAGUCAUUGAAGUCUGAGCUCAUGAAAAUGAGUCGGGCAACUCUGAACUAUGUAGUUUGGGGCGGAGCGGUAGUCCGAAGGAAAAAGAGGCGGAGCCUUACAACAGGGAAUGCAGCAAGGUUCUCAGCUAUUUGCUUGUUCAAACCCCACCACUCCUUUUGUCUGGUUCAGGGCCUCCUACCAUCUGCCCCACCUGCCUGCAGCCCACACUCCCCUGGGGUUCCUACAAUUGCCACCUUUCCUUUAAACUCUCCCUUACAGCUAACCCCCACCUCCCUUGUACCCAUGAGAAUUUAAAUCCCCUUGAACAGCCUGGGGUCCCUUGGUAACAGGGAGAAGAAAAGACAAAGAAGGGAAAGGAUCUUCAAAAUCUCGUCCUAGCUCGAUUUUGUAGCUCCCGGAAGCCUUUUAGAAUAGGACUCAGUUCUCAUCCUUCGCAGCGGGUACUGAGGGACUUCCUCGUUUUACUACAAAAGAAACCGAGGCUCAUAGAGUUUUAGCAAUUUUCCCUGAAUCAAACAGCCAGCUUGAAGUCUCUGUCCUUCCCUUGCGGCCCACUCCUGUCACGGGGUUCACUGAAAGGGAUCUUUCUCCAGCGUUUUCCGCUAUUCUUACCCCAGCAGCUCCACGUUGUGGCUCCCGGAAGAGGGAACAAAGGGCUCCCCCUGCCAGCGUGAGAGAAAUCAGGGGAGGAAAACCGGCGAGCGCAGACAGAACCAAGCAGCCCCAGUGUGUGUGCAGCCCUGCUAAUUGCCCUGCCCUCUCGAUUGAUCUGAUUGAGUUUCCGUGCCUGCUUCAUUCUGCAGCUUGAGUUUGCCUCUACAACAUCCCCUCCAAGUGGUUAUUCAGCCUCUAAAUAGCCAGGGGAACUGGCACAAAAGUGCAGAAGCUUUGAGUCUUGCCCAGAGCAAUGAGUCCUUUGGUUUGGCAAGGAACUUGCAUAGGAGGAAAGACAGUGGCAGGAAAUGUUGAGAGGCAGGUAGGGACCAGGCUGAAGAAUAAUAAUGACUGUGAGCCUGGCAGCAGUAAUAAUAAUAGGAUCUAACUAUCUGAUAAAUAUGUGUCAUAUAAUAAUACAUACAUAUGCAAUGUAUAAUUUAUAAAUAUAUACAAAGAUCAUAAUGAUAUAAUAACAAUAAGAGCAGCAGUAAGAGCCAGCAUUUUCUGAGUGUCUACUUUCUCUUGGGAGCUCUCCCUGCAGUAUCCCACAAGACCUCCUUAGAGGCCCAUUAUUUCCCUUACAUUGUAGAUAAAGGAGUUGUAGAGAAAUUAAGUCAUCUACUAGGCCAAGAUCACACAGCAAAACCCAGUGAUGUGGUUGAGAUUCAGUGGAGCUAUCUUAAAAAUGGACUCACUUAAAUGCUACAUUUUUCUAGCAUUCUAAGGUCUUCCGGCUGCCUUUGUAGACUAGCUAGGAAUAAAGCUAUAGCCUAUCACAAUAAAGCCUUCAAUUUAACGUACUUCAGGCUUUUGUAGAGGGCUUAGUGGUAGUUCAUCAUUAGGGUGUGUACGUAGCAUGUACAAAACCCUGGCUUUAGUCCUCAGCACCCCAAAACAAAAACAAAAACAGCACACUUUAAAAUAUAAGAACUUGGGCUGGAGAGAUGGCUCAGCACUUAAGAGCACCGGUUGUUCUUCCAGAAAACCAGGUUUAAGUCUCAUCAGCCUCAUGUUGACUCAGAACUGUCUGUAACUCCAGUCCCAGGGGAUCUGACCCUCACUUCUAGAUUCUGGCUUCUGUGGGUACCAGACGUAUAUAUGGUGCCCAGACAUGCUUGAAAUUUAAAUAAUUAAAUUGUAGAUACUAUGUAAGCUGGCAGUGGUAUCAUAUGCCAGUGAUUCCAGCCAUUGGGAAUGGAGACAAGAAGAUGGCACAUUCACGGCCAUGCUCAGCUAUGGGUGUCAAAACUUGGCUUGGCCCUUUAGUUGUUGUUUUUCUCAUGGUGCUGUGGUUCCAGCCCAUGGCCUGACACAUGCUAGGCAAGCACUCUACCACUAAACUUCACCCUCAGCCCUGUCAAGCCUUUGCUAUGAAAUAUAUUCCCCAGGGCUCAUGCAUUCAGCAGUGUGCUUUCCUUGCAAGCAUGAGGACCUGUGUUCAAGUCUCAAAGCCCAUUUGAAACACCAAGUACGGUGAUACUUACAUGUAAUCUCAGAACUGGGGAGGUAGAAUCAGGCAAAUCCUGGGGGUGGCACUGGCCAGCCAGCAUAUCAUACUUCACAAGUUCCAGGCCAAUAAGAGACCCUGCUCAAAAAAAAAAUCAAUAAAAACAUCAAUCAAACAAAAAUAAUGAGGUAGGCAGUGCAGCCAAAAGUUAUCUUUUGCACACCCACAGACGCAUGGACCUGCAUACACAUAAACACACACACACACACAAGAAGUAUAAUUCCUGUAUUACUAGCAGAAGGUGGUUAGUGGCUUUAUGAUGAAGAAACCAAGUGCACGCCUCAGACAGCUGCUUCAGAUUUGAAGGGAAUGCUGACGAAGGAAGGCAUUCGCUUCAGGGCUGGGUUUCCGGGUCUGUGGCCUGUGUGUUAGACUGGGCUCUGCACUCAGCAUGACCUGAUGCAUAGUACUGUACUGCCUCCAUCUUGAAAUCCUUCAUGAUCUUCCACAGAGGUCCCACAUGUUCCUUCUUUACAGAGUCUCUUACAUGAUGAAGCCAACCCUACUCUUUCAGAUUACAGAUUCCUAUGUGUCUCCAGGGCCGCUGCCUUGCCCUGUAUCUAGGACAGGUCCACGUGCUCCUUUGACCCCCUUUUUUUGCCUCUAGUGACCUGGCCACAGCCUCCAGUGCUGCCCAGCUGCAGAAACAUCCUGUUCUUGCUGGUUCAGUUCAACAAGUAGUGGUGAUUUGCAAAAAGGAUGACUUAGGAAAGGAAAAGAAAACACAUUUGAAAGCACAAGAGAAAAAAAAUGGGCUUCUUAAACACAGUGAAGGUCAAACACACACUGAAUUGGUCGCCACAGCUUUAGAGGUUACAUGGUGUUGGUGUCCUGACUCACGUCCAGUCUACUUGGGAGGAGUGUGGGACUGGAGCUCUUCAGUAGAGCUGGGGACACCAAUGCCACCACUGGGGGAUUCUUCAUCCUUUUCACCUUCUGAGUUUCCUCUCCUAUUGAAGACCAACUUUGCUUGCCUAGGGCUGAACCACACUUGUGCAUAACAUAGAGCACGUGUGCACACAAAAACAUACAUGAAUGCACUCUCUCUGUGUGUCUCUCUGUGUCUCUCUGUGUCUCUGUGUCUCUCUGUCUCUCUGUCUCUCUGCCUCUCUCUCUCUCUCUCUGUCUCACACAUACACACGCACAUACACACACACACACACACACACACACACACACAGCCCAUUCUGGAAAAUCCUGGUCUUUUGAUGUCUAUGAGAAAGGAACGUCUCUACGUGGCUUCCAGGGGUUCUUCUGGGAGGUUCUUGGGCUGCCUCACCAUGCUUUGCAAUUCAGAUCGUCAGCUUCCAAAGGUUUUUGGGACACCACACCUUUCACCCAUUCUCUGAUAAUGUAACAGCCAGGCUGUGCGCACAAGAUGGCUCAGCCUUUCCCCUCUAGUUAAACCUUCAGUCUAGCGUCAUUACCCUUGAAGCUAGUGGCGCAAGGCAGUCGUUACUUGUCCCCAGGGUUUGUAAAGUGCGCACACAAAGCUCCCUUCCGUUCUGCUGUGUUAUACUUUUCCUGUCUAAGGGUGACCUGCAGUUCUCAGCGUCCCUGUGCAUGGACAUUGACUGACGUAUAUGGCUAAUGAGAGAGGAAACCUUUCCUAGCACCUGGAUCCCCACCUCUGAUUCUCUCUGAUAUAGGCUCUUCCUUCCCAUGUAAUUCAUACUCUAACUACCUUACAGUAAUUCAUGGUGGCAUUUGACUUUGCAUCUAAAGUAGAAAAUAUAAACCUAAAUCUUACCCACUGUAAGGGAAGCCACCAGGAAAAUACCACUUGAGUGUCAAUACCAUAAUGUACAAAUUAGAGCCUGGUCUAUAUAAUCUGUGAAAUCAACAGACAUAAUAAUCCCCAAAUUUCACCCUAAUAGGUUCAACUAAAGGUUUAAGAUGAAUCUCCGUCUUCAAAUGUUAAACACUGAAUUGCCAUAUGAUGCCAAGAAUGCUGCCAUAUACCUGUGAUCCCAGUACUCAGAAGGACCUCCAAUUUUAAUAUUUUGCUGCUUGGCUUUACCCUUCAUUUUGUCUAUCUACCUACUUGUGGAUGUUUAAAAAUCCAUUUGAGGGUAAGUUGUGACUAUGAAACUUUUUGUCACCCCACCUCCCACCCUUAGAUGUGUGUUUACUAACAAUAAAAGGACUACACAGCAUAGCCAUUGGUAUGAUUAUCUGUGUCAGGUAAUUAUCUGUGCUACAAUACUGUGAUCUAAUCUACAGACAUAUUCAAAUUUUGUCUGAUACUGUCCUUCUAACACUUUUUGUCUGGUCCAGAUUCCAAUCCCGGAUCAUGCAUAACAUUUAAUUGUCAUAUCCUGUUGGCAUCGUUUAUCUAGAACUUUCUUGGCCUCUCUUGGUUUUCUAUGAUACUAAUAUUUUUGAUAACGGCAGGUGCUUUGCAGAAUUCCUUUUGAGUUAGAUUUAAUAGUUAUCUCCUCGUGAUUAAACUUGUCUGUUUUCUUUGUGGACAGGAAUACUGCAUGAGGAAUGCUGUGACCUUCUUGGUGUCUAGUAUCAGGAGCAGAGUGAUGUUGGUUUAUUUAGCUACUUGGAAUGCUAAAAUAAAAAUAACAUUGAUGACUCGA